rnacentral:rRNA from 1 species
GUGCCACAGCCGCGGUAAUACCGGCAGCCCGAGUGAUGGCCGAUCUUAUUGGGCCUAAGGCGUCCGUAGCUGGCUGCGCAAGUCCGUCGGGAAAUCCACUCGCUCAACGAGUGGCCGUCCGGUGGAAACUCCACACCUUGGGACCGGAAGGCUCGAAGGGUACGGCCGGGGUAGGAGUGAAAUCCUGUAAUCCCGUCCGGACCACCGAUGGCGAAAGCACUUCGAGAAAACGGAUCCGACAGUGAGGGACGAAAGCCAGGGUCUCCAACCGGAUUAGAAACCCGGGUAGUCC